rnacentral:rRNA from 1 species
AUUGAACGCUGGCGGAAUGCUUUACACAUGCAAGUCGAACGGCAGCACGGGGGCGAACCCUCGGUGGCGAGUGGCGAACGGGUGAGUAAUACAUCGGAACGUGCCCAGUCGUGGGGGAGUAACUACGCGAAAGCGUAGCUAAUACCGCAUACGAUCUACGGAUGAAAGCGGGGGAGUCGCAAGACCUCGCGCGAUUGGAGCGGCCGAUGGCAGAUUAGGUUGUUGG